rnacentral:rRNA from 1 species
CCUACGGGUGGUAGCAGUGAGGAAUAUUGGUCAAUGGGCGAGAGCCUGAACCAGCCAAGUCGCGUGAGGGAUGACUGCCCUACGGGUUGUAAACUUCUUUUAUCAGGGAAUAAAGUGCGGCACGUGUGCCUUUUUGUAUGUCCUUUAUGAAUAAGGAUCGGCUAACUCCGUGCCAGCAGCCGCGGUAAUCCGGAGGAUCCGAGCGUUAUCCGGAUUUAUUGGGUUUAAAGGGAGCGUAGAUGGGUUGUUAAGUCAGUUGUGAAAGUUUGCGGCCCAACCGUAAAAUUGCAAUUGAUACUGGCAGCCUUGAGUACAGUAGAGGUAGGCGGAAUGCGUGGUGUAGCGGUGAAAUGCUUAGAUAUCACGAAGAACUCCGAUUGCGAAGGCAGCCUACUAAACUGCCACUGACAUUGAGGCGCGAAAGUGUGGGUAUCAAACAGGAUUAGAUACCCCUGUAGUC